GUUGUAUUUACAAAGAAGCAGCCAGAGACUCACCGCGCCUUCAAAAAAAAUCCAACUGAAGUGCGUGGACCAAAAAAGGUUACCCAAAGAUGAAGAGCUUGAAAAGAGUCCGCACAUUCAAACAUUAAAGCAUCACAAGCGAGAUGAGAACGAUAUAUGCAAUUUACUGAAUAAAA